rnacentral:lncRNA from 1 species
GGAAAUGGGGCUUUUGUGAGAUAGUUAGGUCGUGAGCAUGGAGCCCUCAUGAUGGAAUUAGUGCCCUUAAAAUAAGAGACAUAAAAUAUGUAUCUCUUUACCCUGUCCCUCUCUUUCUCUCUUCCAUAAGAGGAUCCAGCAAGAAGACUUCAUCUGCAAACUAGAAAGACAGCUCUCACUAGGACCUGGAGCAUACUGGUACCCCAAUCAGAUUUUCCAGCCUCCAGCACUGUGAGAAAUAAAUGUCUGUUGUUUAAGCCAUCCAACUUUUUCUUUUUUUGGUGGUGGUUUUGGGGCCUGAACAUGAGGUGCUUCACCAAUGAGCUAUAUCCCCAUCCCUUUUUAUUUUGAAACCGGGUCUCACUAAGUUGCCCAGGCUGGCCUCAAACUCAAGAUCCUCCUGCCUCCCAAGCAAUUGGUAUUUCAGGCAUGUGCCUACCUCCAGCAAAUCUGAUCUUUUUAUAAUAAUUAAGUUC